CAGUUAAUGCUUUGGGAGAACUCAGAAGCAUUCUGUGUAGUGUCAAAGCUGUGAGAGGAAUGUUAGCACUCAGUGGAAACACAGCAGAAACAUGGACAACCCAGAGAUGGAUGUCAUGACAUUGCAACAGUUAAACACUGAUCAGAAUGGUAUGCCAAUACCAAGUACACAGGUUUGUGCUGAAUGCCUACUUAUCAAGGAAAUCUGUUGGCAGAGAUAAGCUGCAAUAAACAGACCUUCAAAGGAAGGAAGCCCAUGAAUAAUGGCAUGUCAUCUGGCACAAGCCAAAAUUAUGUACUCAGGAAUCACCUUAGCACGUUAAUCCAUUUUCAAGGAAAGCUGAACAGUCACCUACCUGCUCUGCCUCGAAGGCUGACCCACUUAAUUUUCUUCCUGGGUGGCAUCUCGCCAUUCUGCUUUGUCUUCCAGACUAAAGCUUUCAGUCUCUGGUCAUGUGAAUCUGCAUGAGAAUCUGCUGAUGCUUUCUACUACUUUUUAUGAUGCCUCAAAGUGCUUACCUAAAUUACAUUGUUGGAUACAGAUGAGUAUUCAUUUUUAAUCAUUCCCAGAUGUGAUAGUGGUAGUAAACAUCCUGCUUCUCUGCUUAGAGUAAUAAUUAUAGCAAUUUGUAUCUUGGGGAUAAUGAUUUAUUCUUGCUAUUACUGCAAGCACUGUUACCACUAAAAUUAUUCAUUAAUGUAUGUCGAUGGUUUUACAAACUUCCAGAAUAUCAAAUUAAACACAUCGAACAACUUGGUCAUUGCAAAUACUGUUCAAAGGUUUUGCUAUCUAACAAAGUAAGUGAAGAAAAAGUACUAUAAUGUUAAGAGUGUUCCUUCUUUAUCUCUGAAAUCAAAAGUCUAAAGAGACAGAUUUGAGUUUUCUAAUAAUCAGUAUUGUUGAGAAAUUGGAAUCUCCAUCCUAUAAAAUUUCUUGUAUUUAAUAGAAAUCAUUUAUUUUCUUUUAUUUUAUUUCUAAGUACAGAAGAACAUAGAAAAAAUAAGUAGGUUGCUCUGAAAGUAAUGCCUCAUUUAUUUCCAUGGAAACCAUAGCGUAUACAAAAAGCUCAAUAACACUAUUUUAUAGAUCAAAUUCUCAGCUACAAAACACAGUUUAUUAUUAUUAUUAUUAUUAUUAUUAUUAUUAUUAUCUUUUUUUUUUUUUUUUUUUUUUUUUCCAAAAAUGGAUAGUUACCACAACUACCAUUUUUGGUAGCAAUGAACAAGAGCCUGCACACCAGGCUCACAAAAAAUUUGCACCCAUGGGGGUGACCCACUGUCACUGUUGCCACUGCUGAAACACACCACCCACCAUCUCACUGCAUUCAUAUCCACUAUUUGAUCUCCAGAAGCAUUCAGCAAGUGUCAAUGAAUGUCAGUGGGUGCCAUUUCUUCCACAUGGAGAAAUUCAGUGGCACACAUCUGCUUCAUAUGCACUUCCAUUUAAGAUGCCAUUUUGUCAAACUGCCCCUCUGCUGCCAUCUGUCACAUGGCAACAAAACACAACAGAAUAUUGUUGGGAAGGUUCAGCCUCUACUGCCAUACCACCAACACCUGCUGCAUUAUAUCAUGGGCUGACACAACAAAACAGGAGAUAUUACUUUUGGAUCAGCAUGCAUAG
rnacentral:lncRNA from 7 species